CAGAUAACUGCCCCCCCCCCGCCUCAGGUUUUCAGGGUGGGGUGAGGCACCUGUAGUGGUCUCUGGGGGCGGAGCCAGUGUUGGGAACAGAGGCUACUGGGAGCAGAAAUCAGCACAGCCACAGUAGAUGUUAACACUGACCCACAACCUGGGUGGCCCGCUGAGUCUGGCUUGGCUCAUUCUGCUGUCAUGCUUUCAAUCAAGCCAUCCCUGAGGAUUCACCAGAUAAAAAAGUACAGUCAAAAGUAUCAUGAAACUGAAGGGCAGCAUCCAGCGAUCACCAGAGAAGUUUGCAACCCGUAAGACAACAUUAUCAACAAAACUGAAGGGCUGGGAAAGAGUUGAGUCCAAUGAUAAGCUGUGAAUACAGUAUAGCAAACAAAACCAAAUGUGCCUAGCUGACUUUCUCUGAUGGCGCUUUGCAUUUUGCUUUGCACUCUAAUUAUUACAGUUGUAACUUGUCUUCUAAUUUUCAGUGGUAUCAAACCAAAGGUUUCUCUCUGAUAAAGGAAACAGAGCAAAGAGUGCUCCCUUGUUUUUUUUUUCUGAUGCUGAAAACUUUUUUAAAGAUUACUAGUCUAAGAUGCUAUUUCAAGAUUCAGACAUUCAUUCCACGCACCAUUACCCAUGGAAGAAGGAAAAAAAAAUAGAAAGACUAUCAUAACGGUAAAUGCAACUCUCAGUAAGCUAAUGGACAGUAUAAGAAAUUGUGUACUGCAUACACAUACUAUUCAUACAGAGGAGAAGAUGCUCAUCUCUGACAGGCCUUACUCUAAUGGAAAGGCAGUUAAUAAUAUAUAAUACUCUCCCACAGGAGACGAGACAUGAUUGCCACCCACAUAUUUUUAUGUGGGAAGAACAGAUUGAAUAGGGUUUGUGUGUGUGUGUCAGAAAGAAAUACCUAUAGGCUUCACUUAAGAGGCAUUUUGAAACAAGAGGGCUAGCAGGAGCAUCAUUUGUGUUUUACUGCUGACCAAUUGAGAUGGAAAGUGUGUGAAUAAAAUGAAAUGUCCUUGCAAGAAAACAGCUCCUGUGUGGUAGCCUUAAGUAGCUAAAAACAUCUAGAUUCUUGUCGUCUUCCUGCCAGUAGUUUCUCUUGUUUUACUAGCUGGCUUUCAGGGCAGUAGUGAACAUGAAAUAUAUACAAAAACUUUGUAGAGGCUUAUGCUCACUUAGGACUUGGCUUGUUUAAAAUGAAAUAAAAAGAGCUGAUUGAAGAGAGACCCAUAUUUGGCCAUGUUCCUAUCACAGUUGCGUGAGAUUUGCUUUCACAUAUUUAGCCUUUCUUCCCAUGGCUGUUUUCAUUGUACCUUUCCUUAAUUCAGAAUAAAGCU